rnacentral:lncRNA from 1 species
GCUUGCUCACCACCCCACACUUAUCCCUUGUUUAAAUAAGAUUGGAUUAGGGUUUUAGUUAAGAGUCCACAUAUCCUUGGACUCUUAAGUCAUGCCGCCAACCCUUAUCCCCUUUUGCGUCAAUAUUUCUCAUAGAAAGAAGGUGUUUGACAUGAAUUCUUACACGCAAAAGGAAGAGCGUAGGGUAUAUGUGGCAUCCUCAUGGGGCUUCAUAAUGGCGCAAGG